UCCCUGCUGGUCCAGUGGUUAAGACUCUGAGCUCCCAGUUCAGGGGGCCCAGGUUCCAUCCCUGGUCAGGGAA
rfam:TPA: Bos taurus chromosome 7, whole genome shotgun sequence.